AUGGAUAAGCGCUGAAAGCAUCUAAGCGCGAAGCCAACUUCAAGAUAAGAUUUCCCACCGCAAGGGUAAGACCCCAGAAAGACUAUCUGGUUGAUAGGUCGAAGGUGUAAGUGCAGCAAUGUAUUUAGCUUAUCGAUACUAAUAGGUCGAGGACUUGACCAA
rnacentral:rRNA from 1 species